rnacentral:lncRNA from 1 species
GUCCAAGGAGGGACAUACACCCAUGUGUACUGGCCACUCCUCUCCAUGCUACCACAUUCCUGCUUAGAGCUGCACAGCAUCACAGAGCAAGCGCCCAGCAGCCCAGCAUGUGCUUUGCAGGAGCCGUCCUCCUUCUCCUCCCACAGAGUCUCAGAGGUUAUCCUGAACUUUUGAUCCUCCUGUCUCAGCCUUCAAGUACUGAGAUUACAGGCAGGCACUACCAUGUUCAGUUUCUGUGGUGCUGGGCUGAGGUAACCUAGCGAGACAGCUCUAAAAUGCUAAAAUUCAAAUUGGCUUUUAUUCCAUAGCCAGUGAAAAUCACUUUAAAAAUGAAGGCAAAAUCAAGCACUGUGGGAGCUCUAAAGCAGAGAGGCCUGGGUACUAGCAGGUCCCCAACUCUGAGACCUUAGAGGAAGCCCUCAGGCUUGGGAACUGCCCCAGUAAGAGCCCGGAUGAGAGAGAAGGAAGUGCACGAGAUGAGCAAGUAGGCAGGGCAAUAUCUAAGACUAUCUUUGCUAAAAUUCUUCAAAGCAAGGCCAUUGUGUGUGUGCAUGGUUGGCAGAGGAAUGUGUCUGUGUGCCAGAGGCCGAUGCAGGGCGCUUGCUUUCCUUUAUUGGCCUCUGCCUUAUCUGUUCAGCCAGAGCUGUUCCCUGAGCUCAAAUUUGUGUUUGGUGACCUCCCAGGAUCCCUUCUAUGUGGUGUGGAGGAUCUCAACUCAGGUCAUGCUUGUCAGCAGAACCUAUUCCAUGGAGGCCACUUUUAAGACUUUCAGAGACUUUAAAGUUUGAGGUGAUUAUGUAAUUCUUAUAAAUCUAAAGUAAAUGUAAGACACUCAAAGUUCUGAUAACCCAUGGAAAAUUAUUUCAGUGCUUUAAAAUUUUAAUUUGAAAAAAAAAAUGUUUCUCUGAACUUUGGAUGCCUGUCACUAGUGUCAAACUGUACACAGAGCUGUUAAAGAAUGGUGGUGUUUAUUUGGGACUAAGCAGGAAGCACUGUAGUGUGAACAUGUGUGUGAAGGGAACCACGGCACCCAGAGUGGCCUUCCCAUAGUGGCAGUGCCACUAACAAUUCCAUAAGCUCAGGCUGAACUCUGACCUGGGAAUGAGAAGGAUUGCUAGUGGGUAAACAAAAGUGUAAAGUUGGCAUUCCUCGGAAACUCAGAAAGUGGGCUUCUGUCAGGAAAAGCCAUUACUUUCCUUAUGUGCCCCGAUAGCCUACAACUCCCAGGCUCCUGGCACCUAGUUCCCUAUUAACACACACCUGUAACACACAUCAAAGUCUCCCCCCCCACCCCCCAGCUCCUGGGCUCUUCUGCAUAGCAGCCCCCCCCCUUCCAGCUUCCAUGCUUCCUCCUUUUGCAAACCUCUUUAAAACUGGCACGCCUUUCCUUGUCUUUGCUAUUCUCGUCUCUGUCCCACAGUUUGAGCAAGUGUGUCCACCCAGAGUGGUCUUGUUUGUGGUCUCCCUUGCUUACAGGGAGCUUCUAAAGGCAACAAAAAAGAUAUUCAUUCAAAACAAUCCUGGCUCCAAGGACUAAUAACGAAAGCUGUCUGUCCAAGGGCUAACGAUAAGGGCGGCCCCAGGCCGGUGCUGACUCGACAGUGCUGGGCAGAUUUCCUCACUCAAGUCUUUCUGUGUGAGGCUGCGCUUCAAGGUAUCCAUUUGUGGUAGUUCUUGAUAUCAGGCACUCAUGCACAAGAUCCUCUUUUUAAAAAUUUUCUACUUUAUCAUUAACAUUGCUGGAGUAAGACAUGGCAACUCCAUUUUGGUAUGUUUCACACUAGUGCUUAAACACACAGGCAAUCUAACUUCAGCACCAGCAGGCUUCCAGCCAAAAUCUGUCUCCUUGGGUUUCUUGGCCCAGAACCUCCCAGUGCUGAAACUGGGCAAACUGUGAUGACACUGGCUCUCCUAACUGGGACCCACACUGAAGUCCUAAGGACAGAAGUGGUCCCAAGGACAGCUGUGCUAUGGGCAAGCCCAGGAAAGGCAAGAACUGCAUAAAGCUCAUCUUCCUGAAACUCAGUGUGCCCUUUAAGGGCAGGGAGAUUCUCAUCUCUUCCUUCUCCCACACUGUCUAGAAAAGGCCAAGACAGUCUGUCCCUGGAGGAGGAACCACGUCACAAAGGCACAAAUACAGAAACAGGAACAUCAUUUUGGCUGGCAGUUUUGUCACAGUGGCUUGUGGAACUCUUCCUGAGGUGCAUGACUCGCUGACCCUUCACCCACUUGGCUGGCCCAGAGGGUGGCAGGGCGAUGGAUUCAACUGUGCCUACUCAAUUCUCACCCUCAUCCAUUAACCACCCGUUAUUAGCUUGACGUUACUUAGAACAAAACUGAGACUCAGUAAGGUCAAGCCACAGACCUAAGCUCCUUUGCUUACUCACUAGCAGGUUUACUUCCAUGGGUGCUGUAUUCCAAGCUCACGCUCAGCCCCCAAAGCCUAGUGCAAAUGUCUUAGCCAUGUGUGCACUGUCAGAAGAGGUAAGAGGACAGAAGUGAAGCAGAGGAGGAACAAGACCAUGCAUGACAAUCCCUGAGGGAGCAGCACCUCUGCCUCUGGAAGCAAUGUAGGGAGGCAGGUGGGACCUCAGAUCAAGCUAUUCUCCAAACAUGUUUUGGAAACACACUGGGGAGGCUGGAGAGGGGGUUAGAAAGCCAAUGAAUGGUUCAGACGUCUCAAGGCUUCUUUUGAGACCCAUCAGAAGGCCCAGGGCAGGAGUUUUAUGCCAGCUAGAGGUCCAGUCUCAUAAGUAAAGCAAAGCAAAACAACACACACACACACAGAGAGUUGCAGUUGCUCUGAGCCUGCAUAGUUGUGGUUUCGAAAUUCCCCCCCCCCCCAAGGUUCAUGUGCUGGAGGUUGGAGUCCCUUGCUGAUGGCACUAUUUUGGUAGAUUCCGGAAGUUUCAGGAAGUGGGGCCUGGCUUGAGGGAGUAGAUGAGCCUUGGGUUACAUUCAGCUCAUUGGUCCGUCCCUGUUUACCUGCUUCUGUCUGCUCUAAGGUGGGCAGCUUCCAACGCAUCGGUGCAGCCCAGGACUACAGACUGCAGUCUCUGAAGUAAGCCUUUUCCCCUUUAAGCUGCCUGUCUGGUAGCCUGCCACAGUGCUAACUUUGACAUAUGCAUUUACUAAAUGGAGAUAAUUAUCUGGCUAUCCCACCCAGUUGCUCGGAGUUAAAACAGUCUGUGUACGGUACUUAGAAUGUCUAAGUGAAGAAAGCAUUGAACAGGAGCAAUCAACAGUGAACAGCAAACACAUUUUGUUUAUAACUUAUAUCUGUCUUUGAGAGCUCUGGAAUGGCUGCUCUGUCACCUACACACCAGUCCCUGGCUCCUUUCUCUACUACACUAUCUGGUGCUCUCUCAUUUAAAUGUGGCACUCUACAUAUUUGUUCUAAAUUAUGUCAUGCCCUCCCCAGAGGGCAUCCAAUGAGGUAAAGCAGUCAAGUGGCCCUGGGAACAAGGCAAUGUAGCCUGGGGUAGGGUCACCAGUAUGGCUGGUCCUUGAACAGCUCCCUUUCUCUCUCUUUAAAGAAGGAUGAGCUCACACAGUCAUGGUCCCCUAGGGAUGCACCUCUUAUUUGUGGUGUCCUCUGCUGUGGGUACCCCACUUGCUUGGCUGCCAGUGAGGGGACUCUUGGGCUAUUUUCCAGGUAAGCAUAAAGAGUUACCUCUUCUCCAGGGAUGGCCCAGAGCGGCCUUUGUGCUGUACACUUUCAGGGGAGAGAUGCUGAUGCACGGAGGAGAUCAGUGGCUGCUCUUACCUGGUCAGCUGUGGCUGCUGGUGGCAAACCUGGAGAGUGUGAGAUCAUGCGGAGAGAGGCCUCCAGUUGUUGGGGAGGCAAAAAGAAGUUGGGCACCACAACAGGUUCUGGGCUGCAAUGGUAGUUAAGGAAUAAAAUACCUAGAAGUCUACCCUCCUACCAGACCAUCACCCAGGGAACACAGUCAUAUCAUCCGCUUCUCCCUCAUCCUACUCCCCAUCCAUGAAUCCCUGGCACAAGGGGUUCCUUCUGGUUCCUCCCUCACUGGAAGACCCUGCCCACUCCUAACUCAUCUUUCCUCCUUCCCUUCCCUCUCUUUCUUUGGUCUCUACUGUAAUGAGUUCACAUCCCAACCUCCUCCAGGAAGACUUUUCCUCUUAGUCACGUGGUCCCCCUUUCUUUAAUUCUGAAAGUAGUCUGUAACACAGGAGAAUGUUCAAUUAUUAAAACAUUUUUUUCAAAUUAUC